CCUACGGGAGGCAGCAGUGGGGAAUAUUGGGCAAUGGGCGCAAGCCUGACCCAGCAACGCCGCGUGAAGGAAGAAGGCUUUCGGGUUGUAAACUUCUUUUCUCAGGGACGAAGCAAGUGACGGUACCUGAGGAAUAAACCACGGCUAACUACGUUCCAGCAGCCGCGGUCAUACGUAGGUGGCAAGCGUUAUCCGGAUUUACUGGGUGUAAAGGGCGUGUAGGCGGGACUGCAAGUCAGAUGUGAAAACCACGGGCUCAACCUGUGGCCUGCAUUUGAAACUGUAGUUCUUGAGUACUGGAGAGGCAGACGGAAUUCCUAGUGUAGCGGUGAAAUGCGUAGAUAUUAGGAGGAACACCAGUGGCGAAGGCGGUCUGCUGGACAGCAACUGACGCUGAGGCGCGAAAGCGUGGGGAGCAAACAGGAUUAGAUACCCGGGUAGUC
rnacentral:rRNA from 1 species